rnacentral:rRNA from 1 species
UACGGGGGGGGGCAAGCGUUGUUCGGAAUUACUGGGCGUAAAGGGCUCGUAGGUGGCCAACUAAGUCAGACGUGAAAUCCCUCAGCUUAACUGGGGAACUGCGUCUGAUACUGGAUGGCUUGAGUUUGGGAGAGGGAUGCGGAAUUCCAGGUGUAGCGGUGAAAUGCGUAGAUAUCAGGAGGAACACCUGCGGUGUAGACGGCUUACUGGACCAUAACUGACGCUGAGGCACGAAAGCGUGGGUAGCAAACAGG